rnacentral:miRNA from 1 species
CCGAGCCUGACAGAUCACACA